CAGCAGCCGCGGUAAUACGGAGGGUGCGAGCGUUAUUCGGAAUUACUGGGUUUAAAGGGUGCGUAGGCGGCUAAGUGAGUUGUCAUUGAAAGGCUACAGCUCAACUGUAGUAGUGGUGGCGAUACUGCUUAGCUAAGAACAUGGGAGGGGUACUUGGAAUGUGUGGUGUAGCGGUGAAAUGCGUAGAUAUCACACAGAACACCAGAGGCGAAGGCGGAGUACUAGACCAUAGUUGACGCUGAGGCACGAAAGCGUGGGGAUCAAACAGGAUUAGAUACCCUGGUAGUCCACGCCCUAAACGAUGAUCACUAGAUAUUGGCGACAAACAGUCAGUGUCCAAGCGAAAGUGAUAAGUGAUCCACCUGGGGACUACGGCCGCAAGGUUAAAACUCAAAGGAAUUGACGG
rnacentral:rRNA from 1 species